rnacentral:rRNA from 1 species
UGAGGAAUAUUGGGCAAUGCCCGCAAGGGUGACCCAGCAACGCCGCGUGGAGGAUGAAUGUCGUAAGAUUGUAAACUCCUGUUAGAGGGGAAGAAUAGUACCGGUUGGACCGGUAUAUGACUGUACCCUCAGAGAAAGCCCCGGCUAACUACGUGCCAGCAGCCGCGGUAAUACGUAGGGGGCAAGCGUUGUCCGGAUUUACUGGGUGUAAAGGGCGCGCAGGCGGGAUAAAAAGUCAGUGGUGAAAUCCUACAGCUUAACUGUACAACUGCCUUUGAUACUUUUAUUCUUGAGUUCGGGAGAGAGAGACGGAAUUCCAGGUGUAGUGGUGAAAUACGUAGAUAUCUGGAAGAACACCAGUUGCGAAGGCGGUCUCUUGGUCCGACACUGACGCUGAGGCGCGAAAGCGUGGGGAGCAAACA